UGGGUCUUGUGUGGAAUCGGUUGAGCCCAACCAAGGAGUCGAUGUCUCUUCGGACUCCACAUCGCUGGCUCCCAACCCUAUAAAAGGGAGGACGAUGUGGUUUCUUCAUAGUCUGAUCAUUUCCGAUCACUAGCCGUGAAACCAGUGAGCUAUGAUCUCCAGAGAAUCGACGAGAGCGAGCCGGUAGGUUUCUCGAAUGCGGAGGCUAGAUUGCUUGAAACUAGCGAACGAGGAGGCCGAGAGAAUCGAUCAGAACGCAGCAGCAUGCUUCCUGAAUGCGGAGACGAGGGAUCGGAGGACAAAGAAUCAGAGGGCGACGAGGGGAACGCGCAGCAGGGGCUCGCACUCGUCACCUUGAUCCCGUUCUUGGCUGUUGAGUUACUCCGAGUACUUCUUCGUAACGGAGCCGCUGUGGUCCCUAAGAUCAGAUCAGAUUGCGUCUCUCGACCGUCGGGUCGACUGGCUGAAGGUUCACGAACGGAGCUGCCGCGUUCCCCAAGCUCUUUCUCAUCUCUUUCUGUUGGGGUGUCUUACGGUUUCUUCUUGUUUUUGGGAUUUCUCUGAAGUCUCUUCUUGAAUCGUCUACGGUUUUACGGUUUCUUUAGGUCUCUUUUGGGGUUUCUUUAGGUUUCGCUUCCUCUCCCCCCGCCUUCUGUAUUCAUCUCGUCCCUUUUAAAGUGCUCCUUUCGAACGAAGCUUUUUGUUCUUGGGAUUUCUUUAGGUUCCCUCUCGAAUCUUUGGUCUUUGUUAGGCUUCUUCUUGUUCUUGGGGCUUUUACCUCUAUCUCGCUCUCCACUCCUCUCCUUAUCCCUCCCUUCUCUACUGCUCCUCCAUGGGAAUUUGUCGGGGGCCCACCCUUUCUGUAGAGACAUCACUCUGAUGUGAAUAUAGCAUUAGCUGUAGUUUUUGCGUUAUGGAUCAAAGAGCGAUUAAGGAGUUACUGUAGCUCCUUUGAUUGGUAGUGCAUGACAUUCUAUAGGAAUUAUGAUGAUAUAUAUAAUUUACUAAAAGAGUAAACGAAGGAAUAAAUCUGGAAGAUUGUAAGUUCAUUUACUGAAUAAACACAUCAUGCAUUUUUCUGGAAUAAAUUUGGGAGUAGUGUUUGCUUUCACCGUUCAUGAAGUUUUCUUAAGAUAGAGGCUAUUUAGUCCCACAUCCUAAAUCCUAUUCUCGCAUGGAGUAUAUAUUAGAAGCCUUGCUUAAGGCUUAGGCACGACCUUACUUGAACAGGAUCUGUUCUAUAGGCUCGUGCAUCUGUCUUCAAGAGUUCAAAGAAGACAGGCAAUCAAGUCUGGCGUAUGACUCCAUGGCCUUAGAAUUAGAGCGUGAUUAACGGGUGAAAACUUCUUUGAGUUCAAACCUCCAGAGGAUCGUUCUCAGUUGGCUGUGACCACCUGGGGUGAUUCUAAGGAUGUCUGACAGAC